rnacentral:rRNA from 1 species
UACGUAGGGUGCGAGCGUUGUCCGGAAUUAUUGGGCGUAAAGAGCUCGUAGGCGGUGUGUCGCGUCGGCCGUGAAAACCUGGGGCUCAACUCUGGGCGUGCGGUCGAUACGGGCAUCACUGGAGUUCGGCAGGGGAGACUGGAAUUCCUGGUGUAGCGGUGAAAUGCGCAGAUAUCAGGAGGAACACCGGUGGCGAAGGCGGGUCUCUGGGCAGUAACUGACGCUGAGGAGCGAAAGCGUGGGGAGCAAACAGG